rfam:Candidatus Levybacteria bacterium RIFCSPHIGHO2_01_FTLL_37_33 rifcsphigho2_01_scaffold_31437, whole genome shotgun sequence.
GGAGGGGUCGCAUAGUGGCCUAGUGCGUUCGCUUGGAGAGCGAAUGUCGUCGUAGGACGACCGGGAGUUCGAAUCUCCCUCCCUCCG